rnacentral:lncRNA from 1 species
GGUGACUGAACAUGUGCUGCUAUCAGUAUUUUUGUGGGCUCUUUAUCGAGGCCAGCACAAAGCAUGAAGCUUAUAGUUGCGGAAGCAGAGGCCCAGAGAGGACUAGUAACGAAAGACCGUGUCUGCAGGAACUGUCAAGUUGGGACUCUAAGCUUUUGGAAUUAGCUCCGGCUACAGGAGCUGCUGAGAGCCUCUCUGCUUACCUGUCCCACUCGGCCAAUACCAUCUGGGUUCUCUCCAGCCAGGCCUUCACAGGGGAGAUGUUGGUCUGGGGCUCAGUCUGGGAAACAGAUACUUCUGCUCACUGUUAAGGAAGUCGUCAACCGGGCUGAAGAGAUGGCUCAGGGAUUAAGAGCACUGACUGCUCUUCCAAAGGUCCUGAGUUCAGUUUCCAGCAACCACACAGUGGCUCACAACCAUCUGUAAUGGGAUCCGAUGCCCUCUUCUGGUGUGGCUGAAGACAGCUACAGUGUACUUAUAUACAAUAAAUGAAUAUUAAAAAAGAAAAAA